rnacentral:rRNA from 1 species
UGAGCAAUCUGCCCUUCUCUUCGGAAUAAGCGUUGGAAACGACGUCUAAUGCCGAAUACGACCUCCUUUCGCAUGAUCGGAGGUGGAAAGCUCCGGCGGUCAAGGAUGGGCUCGCGGCCUAUCAGCUAGUUGGUGUGGGUAACGGCCCACCAAGGCGACGACGGGUAGCCGGCCUGAGAGGGUGACCGGCCACACUGGGACUGAGACACGGCCCAGACUCCUACGGGAGGCAA